rnacentral:lncRNA from 1 species
UACUAUGCUAUCGGAAGCAUAGAGCAUUUGAUGCUUCCGAUAUUUUGACCCUUAGAUUAAGAAUUAUACGGUUGGGAUGAUUGCAGUCCCUCCAGGGUUGAGUAGUACCUCUAGGGUUGAAUGGUCCCCACAGGAUAAUAAUAUUAAUCUAAAGGUUAAAAAUGAUUAAAGGGGUUGAUCUAACGGCUAAAAAAUUGGAAACAUCAGAUUCUCUAUGCUUCCGAUAGUAUAGUAGUUCUACUCUCUCUCUCUCUCUCUCUAUAUAUAUAUAAAAGUGAAUAGUGUUUGAUCCAAAAGAUAUUAGUAAUUAUGGAGUUGAUCCAAAGGUUAGAAACUUAGAAGCACCAAGUGGAUGGUGCUUCUAAAAGUAUCAUAGCUCAACUCUAGUGGAGCUAGAAUACUCCCAAAAGCACUAAAUGGGUGGUGCUUUAGAAUUUUUAGCCCUUGGAUGGAGAGAUGUGAGGUUGAGAUGAUGGUGGUAGGUGGUGGUAGGUGGUGGUAGGUGAUGGUAGGUGGAAUAGUGGUGGUAGAUGGUGGUAGGUGGUGGUAGGUGGAAUAGUGUUUGAUCCAAGAGAUAUUAGUAAUUGUGGAGUGGAUCCAAAGGUUAGAAACUUAGAAGCACCAAGUGGAUGGUGCUUCUAAAAGUAUCAUAGCUCAACUCAUAUAUAACUAGGCUGGAAUACUAUCAAUAGCACCAAUGACUUGGUGCUAUUAGGUUUUCUGCCCUUGGAUUAAAAGAUGUGUGGUUAGAAUGAUGUGGGGCCCCUAGGGUUGAGUGGGUGGUUAGUUGAAUAGUAUAAUCGAACGAUUAAAAAUGAUAAAAGAGGUAAAUCUAACGGCAUAAAAUUUGAUAGCACCAAAUGCUUCGUGCUAUCGAUAGUAUCCCAACCGGACUCUCUCUCUCUCUCUCUCUCUCUCUCUCUC